UGGGGAAUAUUGGACAAUGGGCGCAAGCCUGAUCCAGCCAUGCCGCGUGAGUGAUGAAGGCCCUAGGGUUGUAAAGCUCUUUCACCGGUGAAGAUAAUGACGGUAACCGGAGAAGAAGCCCCGGCUAACUUCGUGCCAGCAGCCGCGGUAAUACGAAGGGGGCUAGCGUUGUUCGGAUUUACUGGGCGUAAAGCGCACGUAGGCGGACUUUUAAGUCAGGGGUGAAAUCCCGGGGCUCAACCCCGGAACUGCCUUUGAUACUGGAAGUCUUGAGUAUGGUAGAGGUGAGUGGAAUUCCGGGUGUAGAGGUGAAAUUCGUAGAUAUUCGGGGGAACACCAGUGGCGAAGGCGGCUCACUGGACCAUUACUGACGCUGGGGUGCGAAAGCGUGGGGGGCAAACAGG
rnacentral:rRNA from 1 species